UCCGGUUUGUCACCGGCAGUCUCGCAUGAGUCCCCAACUAAAUGCUGGCAACAUACGACGGGGGUUGCGCUCGUUGCGGGACUUAACCCAACAUCUCACGACACGAGCUGACGACAGCCAUGCACCACCUGUUUAAGUGCCCCGAAGGGAGACUGUGUUUCCACAGCUGUCACUUAAAUGUCAAGCCCAGGUAAGGUUCUUCGCGUCGCGUCGAAUUAAACCACAUGCUCCGCUGCUUGUGCGGGUCCCCGUCAAUUCCUUUGAGUUUUAGCCUUGCGGCCGUACUCCCCAGGCGGGGCACUUAAUGCGUUAGCGUCGGCACGGGGGGAGUCGACACCCCCCACACCUAGUGCCCAUCGUUUACAGCGUGGACUAC
rnacentral:misc_RNA from 1 species